AUUGAACGCUGGCGGUAUGCUUAAUACAUGCAAGUCGAACGGUAACAGGUCCUUCGGGAUGCUGACGAGUGGCGGACGGGUGAGUAAUGCAUGAGAAUCUGCCUAGUAGUGGGGGACAACUUAGGGAAACUUAAGCUAAUACCGCAUACGCCCUACGGGGGAAAGCGGGGGAUCGUAAGACCUCGCGCUAUUAGAUGAGCUCAUGUCCGAUUAGCUUGUUGGUAGGGUAAAAGCCUACCAAGGUGACGAUCGGUAGCUGGUCUGAGAGGACGAUCAGCCACACUGGGACUGAGACACGGCCCAGACUCCUACGGGAGGCAGCAGUAGGGAAUAUUGGACAAUGGGCGAAAGCCUGAUCCAGCAAUACCGCGUGUGUGAAGAAGGCCUGCGGGUUGUAAAGCACUUUCAGUUGGGAGGAAAAGCUUAAUGCUAAUAUCAUUAGGUCUUGACGUAACUAACAGAAGA
rnacentral:rRNA from 1 species